rnacentral:sRNA from 1 species
GGGUUUGGUGGAGCAUGUCUGCAUUCCCAGUUAUUUGGGAGGCUGAGGCAGGAAGAUCUCUUGAGUUUGAAAGUUCAAGACCAGCCUAGGCCAUAGGCUGGCAGCCAUACACAGUGCCUCACUUCUAUAAUCCCAGCUACUUGGGAAGCUGAGGCAGGAGGAUCACAAGUUCUAGGCCAACCUGAGCAACUUUAAGGGCUGGGAAUAUAGCUCAGUGAUGGAAUGUCCCUGGGUUCAGUCCUAAGGGGAAAAAAAAGAACUUCUGACUGGCUAAAACCAGCUUCUAAAAGUUGUUGAAAAUGUCACUCUGUGGCCUAGGCUGGAUUGAACUUUCAAACUCAAGAGAUCUUCCUGCCUCAG